rnacentral:rRNA from 1 species
GACGAACGCUGGCGGCGUGCUUAACACAUGCAAGUCGAACGGAAAGGCCCUGCGUUUGUGGGGUGCUCGAGUGGCGAACGGGGGAGUAACACGUGAGUAACCUGCCCUUGACUUUGGGAUAACUUCAGGAAACUGGGGCUAAUACCGGAUAGGAGCUACUGCAGCAUGGUGGGGGUUGGAAAGUUCCGGCGGUUGGGGAUGGAAUCGCGGCAUAUCAGCUUGUUGGUGGGGUAGGGGCUUACCAAGGCUUUGACGGGUAGCCGGCCUGAGAGGGUGACCGGCCACAAGGGUACUGCGGUACGGCCCAGACUCCUACGGGAGGCAGCAGUGGAGAAUAUUGCACAGUGGGCGGAAGCCUGAUACAGCGACGCCGCGUGCGGGAUGACGUCUUUCGGGUUGUAAACCGCUUUCUCCUUUGACGUAGCGUGAGUGACGGUAAUUGGUAAGGAAGCACCGGCUAACUACGUG